UACGAAGGGGGCUAGCGUUGCUCGGAAUCACUGGGCGUAAAGCGCACGUAGGCGGAUCUUUAAGUCAGGGGUGAAAUCCUGGAGCUCAACUCCAGAACUGCCUUUGAUACUGGAGAUCUCGAGUUCGGGAGAGGUGAGUGGAACUGCGAGUGUAGAGGUGAAAUUCGUAGAUAUUCGCAAGAACACCAGUGGCGAAGGCGGCUCACUGGCCCGAUACUGACGCUGAGGUGCGAAAGCGUGGGGAGCAAACAGG
rnacentral:rRNA from 1 species